GACGAACGCUGGCGGCGUGCCUAAUACAUGCAAGUCGAACGCAGUGGGGACGGGUGAGUAACACGUGGGUAACCUCCCAUCAGAGGGGAUAACACUUGGAAACAGGUGCUAAACCGAUACUGAUGGAUGGACCCGCGGUGCAUUAGCUAGUUGGUGAGGUAACGGCUCACCAAGGCCCCGAUGCAUAGCCGACCUGAGAGGGUGUACGGCCACACUGGGAAUGGGACACGGCCCAGACUCCUGAGGGAGGCAGCAGUAGGGAUGCUGCGGCAAUGGACGAAAGUCUGACCGAGCAAGGCCGCGUGAGUGAAGAAGGUUUUCGGAUCGUAAAACUCUGGUGUUAGAGAAGCGGUAGCUAACCAGAAAGCCACGGCUAACUACGUGCCAGCCGCCGCGGUAAUAC
rnacentral:rRNA from 1 species